GACGUAGGUGGCGAACGUUAUCCGGAAUUAUUGGGCGUAAAGGGUGCGUAGAUGGCCUGAUAAGUUAGCAGUGGGAAAUCGAGGCUCAACCUCGUGGAAGCUGGUAAUACUGUCAGGCUCGAGUGCAGGAGAGGUUAACGGAACUCCAUGUGGAGCGGUAAAAUGUGUAGAUAUGUGGAGGAACACCAGUGGCGAAGGCGACUCUCUGGGCUGUAACUGACGCUGAGGCGCGAAAGCGUGGGGAGCAAACAGG
rnacentral:rRNA from 1 species